rnacentral:misc_RNA from 1 species
GAAUUCCACAGCAUGUCCUCUUGUUCCUCAUUUGAUACCUACACUUCUUGUGCUCUUCUUUGAAGCACUUGACAUCUUUCUUCUUGGCCGAAAGAAUCACUUUCCUCUCACUAUCUUCUUGUCCUGAUUUACUACCAAUGAAAACGCUACUCUCUGGUAUGAAGGCGGACAACUCAAAUUUCUUCUUGGCCGAAAGAAUCACUUUCC